GCCUCUUACUUCUUAAGAGCUACACACCACUCCAUGAAUAUUCUACAGUAUGCUUGAAUCAUGCUCUACCAGUGAACCAUUUCUAUCUAAAUUUUUGCCUUUACAGGUUGCAGUGAACAUCUAAGAUGAAUACCUGGAAGCAGAAUUGCUAGUGCAAAGGGAAACCAGGUUCUGCAGAGCCCCUGGCCAGGGUGCCCCAACUGCUCGUGCGGCUUUCCACUAAGGAGGCUCCACAGUGAGCUUCCCUAUGGGAGGAGGACAGAGCAAGCCAAACUUGGAUGGAGCUUCUCAUGGAAUCUCCUCUAUUAUCACAGAGGAGUUUGAAAAUACCUGGAUUCAAAUGUUCCCUUCGUCACUUCACCACUGUGUCAUCUUGGACGUACCAGUCAACUUCUCAGUCUUAGGUGCCAACUGUUUGGUAGGGCUUGUGUAGCCCUGUACAAGCUGGUCCCUCUGUGUCCCUCAGCUGUCUGGUCCCUACCUUGCUGCCAACACUCCAGCUACACUGAACCUCUUUCAGUCAUUUGGAUAUCCCUGCUUGGACAGUACCCAUCACCUUAAAGUUAUAGCAUCUUCCCUGCUCCCUCUAAGACUUUCUUGCCCUUUGUGUUCCAGCCUGCACAC
rnacentral:lncRNA from 1 species